rnacentral:rRNA from 1 species
ACACGUACUGUGCGAACGUUAUUCGGAAUCACUGGGCUUAAAGGGUACGUAGGCGGCCUAUCAAGUCAGGUGUGAAAUCCCACGGCUCAACCGUGGAACUGCGCUUGAAACUGAUAGGCUUGAGGGAGACAGGGGUGUGUGGAACUUCUCGUGGAGCGGUGAAAUGUGUUGAUAUGAGAAGGAACACCGGUGGCGAAGGCGACACACUGGGUCUUUUCUGACGCUGAGGUACGAAAGCUAGGGGAGCGAACGGGAUUAGAAACCCUAGUAGUCC